UAUAGCUCAAGAUUGCAAUGUCCACCUCCACUUAGCCAUAGAGGUUCAUACUUUUGCUUGCAAAGCUCCCAAAGUUGUUUUCCAUGGGACCAAUCAACAACUUCAUCAGCUGUUCCCUGCAAGACAAACACAUUAGGUAGCGAAGGACAUCUUGCGUUAAACUUGCAGCAUUGAUUGCCUACCGUGUCUUUUGAGAACACAUCAUUUUAGUAGUCACUGUUGUCAACUCGCAUAAGCAUAUAGUAGCUAGGCGAGGAGAGUCCAAGUGUUAUUUAAGUUGUGUUUAGUGAUUUUGUAAAGAAUGUUGUAUAAAGUACUGAAUGUACUCUGUUACUUGAAAUAUCAAUGAGGUUUUCACAUUUCAGCUAA